rnacentral:rRNA from 1 species
CACGUAGGGCGCAAGCGUUGUCCGGAAUUAUUGGGCGUAAAGAGCUCGUAGGCGGUCUGUUGCGUCUGCUGUGAAAACUCCAGGCUCAACCUGGAGACGCCACCUGAUACUGCUGUGGCUAGAGUCCGGUAGGGGAGCAUGGAAUUCCUGGUGUAGCGGUGAAAUGCGCAGAUAUCAGGAGGAACACCAGUGGCGAAGGCGGUGCUCUGGGCCGGAACUGACGCUGAGGAGCGAAAGCGUGGGGAGCAAACAGG